ACGUCCGAGGCUAAAAUGAUGCAAAUUAUGCAACAGGAUUAAUAAAUCCUCUGUCAGAUCAAGUUUGCUAAACCUAACGAUUUUUCAUUUAUGCUAUGUUGUAUGUAUAAAAGCAUUUUAACAUCAACUGCAAACAUUGUAUUUCUGGUAACAAAGUAUCUCGCGCGUUAACAGUUACUCAUCGUGACAAAUAAUCGUGAAGCGGGUUGCAAAUUCGAUUAACGAGCGAGGAAAGAACUCGAACGCGAUUUGGAAUAAUGAGUCAAGGUGAAGCUGAGCGCACCUGAAUCAACCUAUAAAUCGUGGCGAUCUGUUUGUCGCCGACAGUUGGGGCAAUCUGUUUACGUCAACGCCGAGAAAAGUGUCUUCCAUUGCGCUUCUUUUUCUUUCGGCCGAUUCAACCUUUCAAACCUUCAAACUGUCCUUGCAUAUUAAAAGAAGAAUUUUUGAAUACAAUAUAUUUUACAAAACAAACCCUACGAACUACAGAGUAUGAAAACAAAGUUUAUUAGUUCACCGAUUCAACACUGCCAUCCUACGAAGAUAUUAACUAGAAUAUCUCUUUUUUUUCCUAUUUUACGACAUAUUUACAACUGGCUGCCUAGAGCCAAGCAGCAAAUUUGAUACAUGAGAUUGUGUCGUGGACAGUGGAUAACACGCAACAACGUUUCAAUUGUGUUCUAUUUUGUGUGGUGUAAAUCGGUUGGUAGGUUCUGUUAUCUUUCGUCUUCCGACUGUCGGUGUAUGUCUCAACUAGAAUAUCAAUAAUAAAAAUUCCUAUAAAGAAGAAAGGCCGGUGAAAGAGCGAAAAUCGAAUAUCGCUUAUAACUCAGUCCACGAGCUAUAAAGAUUGCGAGCAAAGAAUAAAUUUCAAGCGACGCGACAUCGCGUUACAUGUUGAAUACGAUUGCCUCUAAAUAUUCAUAGUGUACCACUCUAACUGCUUUUUAAAUACCUGUUUUUAAAUAUGUCCGAGCGGAUAUCAGGGUGUAAUUCAGUGCGCACGACGUUCCGAGCAAACAGAGGAUGGCUAUUAAGCGCGAACGCCCGCCAAGUUCCGCUGGUGAACCGUGCAGAAGAAAAUUCCAGGAAACUUAAAUAUUUGCUCGAGAACCAUUAUCAGCCUGGUUUUAAGAACGAUCUUUUAUGCGGAUCGGGCUACCGAUAAGAGGAAAAACUCGUUCGGAGGAGACCUCGAGCGGUCGUCUAACGAUGAUCGUCUCGAUAAAUCGUGCAAACAGCCCCGGUUAACCUCUCUUUCUCUAUCUCGAAAAAUUCCAGGCAAACACUGGAACCGAUUGUAAAAUGCCGAUAAAACGGCUCAUACGUAAGUUGCGUACCGCGGGGGUCCCGUCGUCGUUAAGAUUCUAUCGAGAAGAAAUUAAUUUUCGUCCUGGCCGACGUCACCGUGAUCGUGCGACAUUUAUCUCUGAGGGUGCAAAAACUCGCGGUGUGGAGGGGAAAAAAAGAGGGAAUUCUCAUCGCGGUUAGGUUCGUGAAUUGCUCGUUUUUCCGAUUAUCCACGGCCAACAUGUGACAUUUUCUCGAUCGAGUAUGGCCUAAUAUGUGCAAUAAUUAUUUGCAGAGAAAUUGUGCACGGGGUGUAAGAAGAGACGAGAAGAUUAUUAAGUAUGUAUAAAGAUCGUUGCUAUGUAUAAUAAUGAUUCGGAGAGGGGAAACUGCGAACGGAACAGCAGCGUGAGAAGAGAAGAUUGCUGGGGGAUACAGCGGAAAAGAAGAGAAAAAAGAGGGAGAAGAAGAUGGAAAGGAGUAGGGAAGAUGAAAAAAAAAGAUGGCAGUGAAAGAAGAACGGAUAGUAAAAGCAAAAGAGAGAGAGAUAGAGAGAGGGGUGAGAAAUAGCAAUGUGUAAUAGAGAAAAGAAGGAAUAAAUUGAAUGGAAAAAGGAACAAGUAUAAGUCAAGCGGGGAGGAGAUGGAAACGAAGGAAAUACAAGAUGAUUAUCUGUUUCCUUUUUGAAUCAGCAAUUAGAACUAAUAUUCACGAUUUAGGUCCUUGUAUCCUUUAUGUUCCAGGAUGAGGAAUCUACCAACGAAGAGACCUGCAAUGUUUCGAUUCAGACCGAUUGGUAAAUUACUCGAUUCGUGGUGUUCGAUGCUCCAUUCUCGAAUUUGGAAUGAACGGAAUGUCAAGGAAAUGAGAUAUUUUGAUUUGUAAAGCGUGUUCUAUUACACUUACAAUGGCGAACAGAAGAAAACUAUGUGGUAACGAGUUGUUUAUUUUGGAGCAUUAUAUCUGCUGCUUGUUCUGUCAUCUGUCAAUCACAAUCUUAUUUUGUAAAGUUAUGCUGUUUCUUCGUAUUACUUAAAAUUUGUUUUGUACACCACUUUAUUAGCAUUCAUUGGAUUUUACGUUUACUAUAACGUGUGCAAGAAUCUAACAGGAGAAACUCCCCAUGAAGAGGAGGAAACACCUAAUGACACAGAAUCAGUCGCGUGCUUAUAUGUAUUUCGAUCACAGAAACGUUCUGUAUGGCCAGCUAAAGAGUUCCACUUUGCAUAUCAGAGGAACAACAUAUUGCAGCGGAAGUGUAAUGUCUUUUCAAAAGCUCUUUCGACGGUGUACGGCGAGCAAACGAUUUUCAUCUUGUAGUUUCCCAAGUGAAAGCGUCACGGAGUAAUAAAUUUUUCAUUACCCUGCAAGAAGUUUCUUCGUAGACUAUGGCUUGGGUAAAAAAGAAUGUCAAAUUCAUCUUCUCACGAAUUCAUUUGGCAGGCAGACAAAGGAAAGUUUGAUUUGAAAUGAAAUGAUUUAAAAAUAAAAGCGAUAAAGGGAAUUCCGAUCAGUUGUGAAUCUUUUGUUUGAUUUCGUUUGCUUUAGUCGACCGGCUGGAUGGAUUUAAAAUAAACUGAUUAAUCAAGAUCAUA